AAACUUAAUAAUGACAUACAGACUAGGGCUGGAUUAAAGUCCAUGGAGGCCCUAAGCACCUAAAAGGUUUUGGUGCCCUCAGGUAUAUGUA